AGGAUGAACGCUGGCGGCGUGCCUAAUACAUGCAAGUCGAGCGGUAAGGCCCCUUCGGGGGUACACGAGCGGCGGACGGCUGAGUAACACGUAGGAACGUACCCCAAACUGAGGGAUAAGCACCAGAAAUGGUGUCUAAUACCGCAUGUGCUCUUCGGAGUAAAGCUACGGCGGUUUGGGAACGGCCUGCGCAUGAUUAGCUUGUUGGUGAGGUAAAAGCUCACCAAGGCGACGAUCAUUAGCUGGUCUGAGAGGAUGAUCAGCCAGACUGGGACUGAGAACGGCCCAGACUCCUACGGGAGGCAGCAGUAGGGAAUUUUCCACAAUGGGCGAAAGCCUGAUGGAGCAACGCCGCGUGCAGGACGAAGGCCUUCGGGUCGUAAACUGCUUUUAUCUGUGACGAAUAUGACGGUAGCAGAUGAAUAAGGAUCGGCUAACUCCGCGCCAGCAGCCGC
rnacentral:rRNA from 1 species